GAUGUCUUCAGGAAUUCCAUAAUAUCUGAAGAUAUGGUUAAACAUAAGUUCAGCAGUCUCCAUGGCCGUGGGCAGUCCCCUUAAGGGAAUCAGACGACAUGACUUAGAAAAUCUGUCAACAACUACUAGGAUGCAGGUACAAUUAUCUGAGGCAGGGAGGUCAGUGAUAAAAUCAACUCCUAGGUUGGGAACGGUUGGGAACGGGCAGAGGCUGGAGUUUACCGGAGGGAAGAUGCCGUGGACUCUUUGAGAUAGCGCAUUCCUUACAUCCCUGCACGUACCUCCUGACAUCCGAUGCCAUGUUCGGCCACCAGAAGCGCUCUUAAAGCAACGAGAGGGUUUCAUUGACCCCCGGGUGGCCAGUGCCCAGUGAUGUGUGAGAUGCGUGAAUGAGGGGAGUGCGCCAUGUCCGGGUGAUGUAGAGCAAACCUGGGGGGCAACCCGGCAGAGCGUUGGUGGACGCAUUGGACUCGGGAAGUGUCUCCUCAGACCAGACGAUGGGAUUCACAAAGAGUUUUUUCCCGAAUAGGUUCGGGAGUGUCUAAGGGCUCGUCGGGACCAUGGAUACGAGAGAGGGCAUCUGCUUUUACAUUCUUUGACCCUGGACGAUACGAGAUGGAGAAAUUGAAGCGGGUGAAAAACAGAGCCCACCGUGCUUGGCGGGGGUUAAGUCGUUUUGCAUCUCGAAGGUAUUCCAGGUUCUUAUGGUCAGUUAACACAACGAACGGAUGUUUUGCUCCUUCAAGCCAAUGCCUCCACUCUUCAAGGGCAAGCUUGAUGGCAAGAAGCUCCCCGUUAUCAAUGUCAUAGUUGAUCUCCACCGGGUUGAGUUUGCGGGAGAAGAAGGUGCAUGGGUGGAGUCUACUUGGAUUCCCCUGCUGCUGUGACAAUACCGCUCCCACUCUGGUAGUCGAGGCGUCGACCUCCACGAUGAAGGGUUUCUCGGGGUCCGGAUGCACCAGGAGGGGAGCGGUGGUGAAGGCUUUCUUUAGGGUCUCGAAGACUUGGGUGGCUGCUGGGUUCCAGGACAGAGACUUGGGCUUACUGCGCAGGAGGUUAGUGAGUGGAGCGGAGAUGAUACUGUAACCUUAAAUGAAGCGUCGAUAGAAAUUGGCGAAUCCUAGGAAUCUCUGAAGCUCUUUUAUGGUGGUGGGAAUGGGCCAGUCCUUGAUAGCAGAUACCUUCCUCUUGUCCAUCCGAAUGCCACUGCGAUCGAUGUAGUACCCAAGGAACUGCACUGAGGGCUGGUGGAAGGUACAUUUCUCUGCUUUGAGGUACAGGUGGAAUUCCCUCAGGCAUUGCAGGACCUCCGCAACGUGGUGGCGAUGGUCGGCCAUGAUUCGGGAGUAAAUCAGGAUAUCGUCGAUGUAGACCAGGACUGACUUGUGGAGGAACUCCCGGAGCACCUCAUGGAUGAAGUCCUGGAAUACGGAGGGGGCGUUGACCAAUCCAUACGGCAUGACCAAGUACUCGUAGUGGCCAGUAGGGGUCACAAAUGCUGUCUUCCACUCGUCCCCCUCACGUAUCCGGAUGAGGUUGUAGGUCCAGUGGCGAAGCGGAUGGAGAGUUGGAUAAACCGUUCAAGCCCGAUGGAGUCCUCGUAUGCAGCGAGAUGCAACCACACGCGUGGAUCCAGCCCUUGACGAUAUGUGGUAAUGAGGGCCUGCUCGUUCCAUCCGCCAGAGGCAGCGAGGGUUCUGAACUGGAGGGCAUAGUCAUUAAAGGACAUUGAACCUUGUUUAAGUUGGUAUAAUUGCUCACCGAUCGAUGAGUCCCAGGCCGGCCUUCCAAAAACUUCCUUGAAGUGAGCGAUGAAACUGGAGAGAGACUGUGUGAUGGGAUUCUUCUGUGACCACAGCGGUUCAACCCAGCGAAGUGCCUUGCCAUCUAGCUGAGAGAUUAUAAAUGCGAUCUUCGCGCGGUCGUUGGGGUACAGGUGCGGUUGCAUCUCCAGGACCAGCGAACAUUGCAGAAGGAAUCCAUUGCAAUCCUCCGCCGAACCAGAGAAGGGCGCCGGUUUAGCCAUGGGACUGGCGACGGCAGGUGGUGAAGGAGAAUCGGCGGUGGAUGCGGAAGUGCUCGCUGGUGCAGAUGCGGGUGGAGUGCCGGUGAGUGCUCGGCGCAAUGCGUCCACGAGCUCUUGAAAUGGGUCCUGGGUGCUCAUACUGGUGUUCAGCAGUGUGGUCCGGUCUUCUGUUACAACACAGAAGGGGACAGCGACACAGGAAUAUAGGUGCAGAUGUUCAUUGAACAACCAGAAUGAAACACAGAGUGCAGGUAAGUGAUGGCAGGUAAUACGUUGGCAGAUAUAGUCGAAGAACUGAUACUUGUCUUGGUUUUUGCAGGAAUGGCAGAUGGAUGACAGACUUGGAGCUUGGAGCAGACACAGACGAACUCACGGGAGACGAGGAGACAACGAGGAGUCGAGGGAGCACACAGGAGACAGGUAAGUAGCUUCGGUGGAGUCCUUGAGGUAAGCAGACAGGUAAGACCAUGUGCAAACAAGACCGGACAGUGACUGAGUGAGAGCAUGAGCCUUUUGUGCUGCAGUUGAUGAUGGUGCUGAUGGGCUGCAGGUGAGGGUGAUUAGAACUCUGGUGAUGACGUGCGCUGUGUCUGUGAGAGUGUAGAGCCUGGCGUGUCUGUGACACAAUGGAUGUCAACUUGAUUUUUGUGUGUCAAGUGCAGAAACGCAGAGGAAGUUAAACUAAAUUGGAGGCAAUGUAGAGAGAAUUGACCGGCUGAUACAACACGACUGGGAAACAUCAAGCUUUGAGGCAGAGAUGCAUCAGAAGGGGGAACGAUUCUCAUGGGAGAGGCAGCUCCAGCAGGCUCGGUUGGAGCACGUCUAGAGUUUGAGAUGAAACGCAUGGAAGCAGAAGAGAGACGUGCACAGGAGAGCCAGCAAAUAAUAAUGCCAUUUUUGCAUAUCCUAAAACCUCCUCUUCCAUAUUAUGGCCCAGUACCACCCUAUCUUUCAUACCAAGAUGCAGUUGCCCCAGGUCAUCCAGGUGACCUGGCAUUUCCACCUGGAGCACCCACGCCCCCUGCUCCAUCGGUUGUGCGCUAACUCAGCCAGGCUGACUGGUUUAACCCGCAAAACCUGCAGUAAUUACUCCCACUGAAACAAUGUUCAGAGUAAAAAUUUUUACUUUAUAUAGUUUUUUAUUAUUUUGAAAUAUUUUAGAACUUUUGGCACACUACGUUCUGUACAAGAAGCCUUUGCAUUUAUGUUAAUUAUUUCAAAAGAAAAUACUAUCUGUUAAUGAUGUUAAGUGUUCAGUUUCCACAACUUUAUGCACUUUCAUUAAACAAACUGAAAUAGUAGACUACCUCUUAAAGAAAAAUUCCAGUUCUGUACUUCUACAGUGCAUUCAUUUCAUCCUUAUUCAAAGUUAAUAACAAAGGAAAAUUAUACUAUUGAUACUUGAAAUAAAAUAUUUUGUUGUACUAAACAUGGGAGUAUAUACUGGUUACUUUUACUACACCAUUGUACAUUUUCAAAAAGGUGUUUACACUCGUGUUGAUACAUGAAGCAUUAUUGCCUGUCGAAUUUCUUCUGCAGUACAGUUUGACGAGUCAGGCUGUUCAGGGCAGGUUGAACUCAGGCUCACCAGGAAAGGAUGGAAUGUCCUGUGGUAAAUCUGUGUUUUCUGGAGGCUGGUGGGGUGUGUCAACAUACUUCAGGUUCCACUCUUCACAGAAGUCAUGUAACACAAUGCAGGCCACCACGACAUAAUUGAUGUUGUUUGUUGCACUGUCAUUUCUCUUCAUGAUGCAACGCCAUCUACCCUUCAGGCAGCCAAAAGCAUGCUCAACAUGAAUGUUAAACUCCUUCUGUGGUCUCCUCAAUGUGCCGUCAAGUAAAGGUUUCAUCACAUGUGGAGAUAGGCUGAAUGAGAGGCUGGAUUUCCACUCCUUUAAUGGACCUUGUAAGUAGUAAAAAGAAAGUGUCAUUUUCAAACUUGUGACAAAACUUUGGAUUUUCAAAGACAAACGAGUCAUGACACUUCCCUGGCCACCCAACAUCAAAGUCCAUGAACCUGUACCUAUGGUUUACAAGGCCCUGAAGUUGCACACUGUACCAUCCCUUUCUGUUGUAAAAAUCAGUGCAGUACCGUGAAGGAGCGAUAAUGGGGAUGUGAGUACCAUCCAAGGCCCUAGCACACAUAGGAAACCCGGAUUUUCUUUCAAACCCAUCAAUGAUGGAUUGCAGGUCUUAUAAAGAUCUUGGUCUUUUAACAUUUUCAUUUUGAGAUGGCACAAAGCCAUGUUGUGUGCUGUGCUCAUGCCAGUGCCAAAGAGGUUGGCCAAAUCAUGAAAUUCAACACUGCUGGCAAGUCUGUGGAGGGUAAGGGCCACUCUCUUAUGUAGAGGCACUGGGGAUUUUAGAACUGUAUCAGUGGUCAAACGGGUUCACAGAAUGACUUUUAGAUCAAUCACCUUUUAUAAACUGUGUGACAUGGAUUCAGAUGGCAAUUAAAUUACCACAUGCUCUUGGUGUUUGUCAAAAAAAGUAGGUAAUUUGGCCAGGGACUUUUACGCGGGUGGUGGGAGAAAAACACUGACAUUCUGGAUUCAGACGGCAAUAAAAUCACAGACUAACCCCUGUAAAUGCUGAAAAUACAUUACGUGCCCAUGAGAAACAAUUACCGUCUGAAUAGGGCUAUGGCCAAUUAAGUUCACCCUACAACAUCUGCAUUAUUACAAAUCACUAGAGGUCACCAGGUAAUACUAAUGCCGUGUGAAUAGGGCUUUAGGAUGCAUUUUCUAAAGCACAAUCACAAUCCUCCUAUUUAUUCUGAUUGGUCUGUCAUCAGUUUUGUAACUUAAAGGGGACCUAUUAUGCCCCUUUUCACAAGAUGUAAUAUAAAUCUCAGAUGUCCCCAGAAUGUGUCUGUGAAGUUUCAGCUCAAAAUACCCCACAGAUCAUUUAUUAUACCAUGUUGUAAAUGCCCAUUUUUGAAUGAAAGGAAAAACAUGCUGUUUUCAUGCAUGUGUCCUUAAAUCCAAAUGAGCUGCUGCUCCCCGCUCCCUAUCCAGAAGAGGGCGGAGCCUACAACUUGUGCCACCUAUAAUCUGCCAAAAACUAAAACAUCUGUUUGGUUUUUUGAUUGUCAUAUCCAUCGCGGUCACUUUCACAUUACAGUUCUUCAUCAUCGUGAAAGUUUAUUAUCUGCAUGCAUUUAAAAGCAAUAUCAGUCUAAGCUUUUAAAAUAUAUGGUUUCCUGAGCGCACAUAUCUGAAGCAUGCACACAGUAAGCUGGAUGUCAACGCAUCCCGUGAGUAUUACAUUAAGUUCUCUUUCAUGUCUUAUUGCGCUUAAACUGUCAAAUAUACACAAGGUUAUGUAAAAAACAAAACACAAAGUUCACAUGAACACAGUCGGUUACUGUAUGUCUGUGAACGUAAACAGCAGGGACAGAAAUCAUGUUUAUAAUGGAUCUGUGUAUUAAAGUGAAAGCAGCGUUUUAUACAGUACCUACUGUAUAUGCUCUUAAAGGGUUAAUUCACCCAAAAAUGAAAAUUCUGUCAUUUAUUACUCACCCUCAUGUCUUUCCAAACCCGUAAGACCUUUGUUAAUCUUCGGAACAUAAAUUAAGAUAUUUUUGAUGAAAUCCGAGGUUUUCUGAACCUCACAUAGGCAGCAACAUUUUUGCACCUUUUAAGGUCCAGAAAGCUAUUAAAGACAUCGAUAAAAUAGCACAAAAAGUAUUCUCAUUGCUUAAUAACAUUAAGGUUGAACCACUGCAGUCAUGCUGACUAUUUUAUCAAUGUCUUUAAUACCUUUCUGGACCUCAAAAGGUGCAAUGACGUUGCUGCCUAUGUGUGGAUCAGAUACCCUCGGACAAACGAAUGUCUUAUGGGUUUGGGACGACAACUUAAUGACAGAAAUUUCAUUUUUGGGUGAACUAACCCUUUAAUAUGAAUCGAACAACAAAAGAAAAACAGAAAAUUACUCACUGUUCUUGAUUGAAUUACUUUAGUAGUCUAUGCUAAUAGGGCCGAGUCCUUCAGCAGUCGUGGGCGGGGCCUAAAUAUAUGUGACAUCACGCUGCUACAAUCUGCAAAUGGCUUGUUCUGAGACACUGCUUAUGAUUUAUGAAAAUGAGUGGGUGGAUUUUAAUCAUUAUAGGGUGGCUAUGUACACACAUUCAUUUUCAAACACCAUGUAAAUGUGAAUUUUGCAUAAUAGGUCCCCUUUAAUGUUUACUCAUGGAUAAAUGUGUGCUAUUUGGGUUGACGUUGUGACACUUGAGUUAAAUAUAUCAUGUGUUUAUUUUUUUUCUGAUUGGACGGAAAAUUGUACUAACUGAAUCAGUUCUAGUGUGUUAACAAUCGUGAAAAACCGUAAUGAGAGGGAGAGGAACAGUGGUGAUGAGAGAUGAGGGGAGAGGAAGAGGAGAAGGAGCAGGAAGAGUUGAGCUCGUUCAGCUGCAUUAUGUCUUUUUCAUCCAUAUACUGAGUCAUCCAGUCCUGCUCCUGGACUUACUCCCAGUAUAUGCAUUUUGACAAAGCUGUCUUUAAUCUUCACAAUAAAAGGAGAAGAGGGAGAAAUGUUAUUGGCCAUAGUGCCACAGUCAAUGUCCCUAAACAAUGAAAAGGCAACAUCACUAUGUGUGCCGCAUUUUCACUCCACUGGUGUCGUGGCACACAAUACUGUCUUGGGGCAAAAUAACAUAAAAUUUGGACCUCUUCAUCCUGUUCAAAAGUUUUCACCUCCAACUCUUAAUGCAUCGUGUUUCCUUCUGGAGCAUCAGUGAAUCUUUGAACCUUUUUUAAUAGUUGUGUUUGAGUCCCUCAGUUGUCCUCAGUGUGAAAAGACGGAUCUCAAAAUCAUUCAGUCACUGCUGUAAAGGGUUCAAAUAUGCAAAAAAUGCUGGAAAACUGAAGAAUCUGCAGGACCUGGAGAUUUUUUUCUGAAGAACAGAGCUCAGUUUAACUGUUCAGAACAAACAAGAGACUCAUGAACAACCAUCAGAAAACAAUAAAACAGUCGUAGAUCAUCCAGGUAACCACACACAGUAUUAAGAAUCAAGGGUUCACAAACUUGUGAAUGGGGUUAUUUUAAUAAAUUCAGCUAUUUUUUUGUCUUGUGGAUUAUAUGUAAACAUCUUUUAUGUAAAAUAUCUUACUCAGGACAGUACAGAAACAGUAAAUAGUUAAAGAAACAGUGUUGUAACAAACAAUCUUUUAUUUAAUUUCAAAUUAGGAGCAGGAACAACAACAGCACAUCUACUCUACUGACUCAUAAUCUGCACACUCUACAGAAUUUGACCAUCCUCUGUCCGGAGAGUCUAAGAUCUUGGGCUCACCUCCUCCAGGACUGUGGCUCUUGUAGUCCAGGUGCUUUUGUUUCCUUUCCGCAGGGACAGUGCCUGCAAAAUCACUGCCUGAUAGGGCAGAGAGGCAACAAGUCAGCUGCCUAUGGGUACUUCGCAUUUCUUAUUUGUGCAUCCUCGUUUCCUUCCCUCGCUUCCUUUCCUGGCGUCUCAGCUCCACCCACCUUAGGAUGCGAGGGAAGGAUACACCUGUGUAUCCUCAUAACUUCUCAGGAAGCGCCCUCGCUUCUCAUUCCUUGCCUCCUUGUGGUACAAUUAGAGAAUUGAGAUGUUCUUAAAGAUGGCUGAGUUUGAUCAGUUUCCAGGUCACAGGCUGGAGGAUGGAGCGAAGAAACGAGGAAGCAUCAAUUUAAAUAUUGAGAAGCACCCUAAGGGGCCGUUUACAUGACACCGUUUUCAACAAAAACGGCAAACUUUUUUUGCAUUUUGGCUGUUCAUUUACACAACAGCAUUUUGGUGGCCUGAAAAUGCAAACUUUUGAAAACAGGUUUCAAAGUGCAAGUUUUUGAAAACGGCCUCCGUGUAAACAACAAAAACGUCAAUUUAUGAAAACGAUGACGUCAUGCGUAUUACACGUUCAGUCUAUGGUGUUUCAUCGUCAUCUAAUGACCUGCCAGCAGAAUACAGCAUUUUUAGCCAUUUUCACAGAUUCGUGUGAAUGGGGAUCGUUUUGACAAUGGUGUCGUCUGUACACGUAAAACUCAAAGGAAAAACUUCUCCGUUUUAAGCAUAUCGGUGUCGUGUAAACAUACCCUAAGUUUUGAGAUACAGCCCUUAUCUACGUACUCUACUGGUAAAUGUAAUGCUACUGACACCUAGUGGUUAGUUUUAGAACUUGCAGCAUAUGGCCCUAUCCCAAAUGCCACUCUAAACACUUGCGGGCUUUGGCAAAGGUGCGCAUCGAGGGCCACACUUGCAAGCACCCUUCUGAAACGAACAUCGACAAAUGGGACACGCUACGAUCUUAAUGGACUUAAUGGACACACGCAUGUGGCAGCCAUUGUAAGUCCAGAAGACCGAAAGUGCAUAUGAAGUGUGUCUUUUGGGACAGGGCCUAUCACUACACAGCCUGGUCACUGCCAUGCUAUCAAAAUAAACGUAGCCUAAUGGCAAGAACACGCUUUAUAAUAUUAUGUACUUAAGCAAUUAUAAAUCCCCUAAUAAGUAGGGUGUAUUGUUUCUCAUUGUAAUGAAAAAACUGUUUGAAACAGAUUUAUAUUUUUAUUACAUCUUAGGUCUGCACAUGCAACAAUUGACAGCAACACUUCUCUCUCGUGUGUUCUACACAGCUUGCGAGUAAUUGCGCCACUACUGACACCUAGUGGUUAGUCUAGAAAUACACUAUCAAAUGCUCUUCAUCAUGACAGGGUAAAUACAGAUUCCAGCAAAAUUUGACAUUUAUUACAGUUAUUUUUGCCACUGUAAAACAUAAAUUAAAAUGGGAUCUCUUUCAAAUGCUUAAAAAAAGCUUUCAUAGUCCUUCUCUAUUUUUCUUUUUUAAAUGACUGUUUUAUAAUAGUAGACUAAGUGUAACUGUAGCAGCCUUGGUAUAUUAUAGUAGGCCUGUUCUUUAUACAUUUUUUCCCUGUUUUCUUCAGUGUAGUUCAUGUAGGUGUCAUCUCCCCUCCUUCGCCAUAUUAAUACUUCGGUGCUGUUCAGGUUGAAUAUUCAAUCAAAUAUGACAUUGAUUAAAAUACAAUGAAAGGACAUUUCAGCCUCAGAUAGCUUCUCUAUAGCUAAGCAAGAAUGUUCCUGUGCAUGGAGUGCAAAUGUAAUGUCUUAAAACAGUCUACACCCUAAUUAAGAAUAUAAGACUUUAACCUUUUAUUUUCCCCUUUAGCGGCAAUUCUUAAAAAUAGUUAAGGCAAAAAUAGUUUGUUUUUCUAAGCACCUGCAUAUUAAAUAAAUGUGACGUCCCUGGGAAUUUUACUCUGACCACUUUUCUACAAUUGUUUACAACUUUUCGCUAGUGCAUUUUUUGUUUGUUUGUUUGUUUUUUGUUCCUUUAGAGAGGCAAACCAACAGAUCAAUGAAAAUGUUAAAAUAGAUUCAGUGUAUGCCUUAUAAAAAACAGUCAUCAAUGUCCUAUUAAUAUUAAAUUUGGCUACUUUCAUCAGACAAAAGAAUCUUUGCUGACUCAUUUUACACAGUCUGUAUUCAUUUCAAAAUGGAACUUAUCAAUUAUAGAACCUUUUAACUUUCAACCAAUUCAAUAAAUGGUUUGUUAAUAAUAGUAUUGAGGUUGCUAUUGUCACAAGUGCACCGGUCCUCCUACCCAAACUCACACUCUGUCCAGACUCUAUUUCCCAGCAUCCCGCCUGGUUCUCACCUGCACCUUUUUUUUUUUUUUUUUUUAAUUGACACCUGCCACAGUGUUUAUUUGUUGUCUCUGAUUGUAGGUAAAGCAUAUAGUUUCUGCAACAGUAGUGCCACCUUUCUUUUUUUUUAAUGCUUUAUUCAGUAACAAAACACACAAUAAUUAAAUAAAAAUAACAAUAAUACAAAAUAACAAUAAUAACAGCAAGAAAAUCAGUAUAAUAAAUUACUCAUAUAUAAAUUACAAAUAAUAAUAAUAUAGAAUAAAUAAAUAAAAUUAAAGACAAAAUAAAACAAGGAUGAAAAAAAUAUAUACACAGGGCUAUUUAAAUCAAGUCCAUAUCUCUAAUUACAAAAUAAAUAGAAAGAUCCUUAAAAAGUCUAUAGUCUAUAGUCUUUUUUUGUCUUGGUGUUCCUUAUACCCUCCAAUGAUUUAAGAUACUGACAAAGCUUAAAUUUAAAUUGUAUAAAACUAGGUGUAUUUUUUGCCCAUAGACAUUUAUGAAUGUGAUAUUUCCCUAAAAUAAUAAAUUAAGAACAAAACAAAUUUUCUUUUCUAAAGGAUUAUCAUAAAAAAUAAGCUAUUUUUGUCCUCCAGAGUAAUGUCAGUUCCAGAGAUCUCCUUAAAAAAGACCUCAAGAUCAAGAACAAUUUAGUGCAAAUAUAAUCAAAAAAAGAUGACAAAUAGUCUCAUCAUUCAAAUUACAAAACAGACAUUUCAAAUCAAUCUUUCUUAAAGGGAUAAUUCACCCAAAAAUGAAAAUUACCCCAAGCUUUACUCACCCUCAAGCCAU